UCUCCGUUGGUGAACCAGCGGAGGGAUCAUUACAGAGUUUUUAACUCCCAAACCCAUGUGGAAUUACAAUUGUUGCCUCGGCAGAAGCUGCUCGGUGCACCCUACCUUGGAACGGCCUACCCUGUAGCGCCUUACCCUGGAACGGCUUACCCUGUAACGGCUGCCGGUGGACUACCAAACUCUUGUUAUUUUUAAAGUAAUCUGAGCGUCUUAUUUUAAUAAGUCAAAACUUUCAACAACGGAUCUCUUGGUUCUGGCAUCGAUGAAGAACGCAGC
rnacentral:misc_RNA from 1 species